rnacentral:lncRNA from 1 species
GGAGGGGGUGGGGACGGUGGGGAGGAAGGAGGGGGAAAGGCACCAACCAGCAGCCGCUCCAGCCCUGCCGAAGUUUCACUUUUUGUCUGUGGGUUCGCUCCCGGGCCCCGCGCGAGCUUUCCCGGGAUAAGUAGCUUUAGCGAGCGGGGAGAGCCGGGCGCUGCAAGGAUCGUGACCUCUGGCUGUGAGAAGCGACAAGACGGCCCUGGCUCACCUCACAGCCAGGAAGAACACAAGCUAAUUUCCAGCAUCUCUCCUCUGCUGCUUUGAGAAUUGAAGAGAAGCCUGACAACUAGUGUGUUGGGAAAGGCCUGAAGGAAGCCAAACCAGCUCCUGCACAGUUGUGAUCCCUUCAGCCAGGGUGAUCCUCAGCAAGACUUCCGGUAUGUAAAUGAGCCUCAUCUGCUGUCUCUGCCUGCUGCCUGCUGUCUGGGAUACCAGAAUUCUAGGUUGAGCCUCUGUGAGCUGGGCUUGGCGGUUUAAUUGGUUUACGAUUACUAUCGUUUUUUGGUAUCUGCUACUUGAAAUAU